GGGGUGUGCUCAGAGCAGGGACCCAAAAAUGGUCACUCUGUUUGCAGUACACCCAACAGUAAUUUGGGGUUAGUCUUACAGGAGGCAAGGCUCGUUUGUCUUCUGUAGCAUCCGGUCCCAUAUAA
ensembl:snoRNA